rnacentral:rRNA from 1 species
CUUGGUCAUUUAGAGGAAGUAACAGCGAGCAAGGUUUCCGUAGGUGAACCUGCGGAAGGAUCAUUACUGAAUUGUAAACAAGGGUUGUUGCUGGUCCUCAAAUGGGGACAUGUGCACGCUCUGUUCACACAUCCAAUCACACCUGUGCACCCUCUGCGGUUCUGUGGUCAAGGGGGGCUUUGCCUUCCUGUGCCGUGGUUCUGCUUCUUUACACACACACACUGUAACAAAGUCUUGUGGAAUGUAUGCCGCGUUUAACGCAAUACAAUACAACUUUCAGCAACGGAUCUCUUGGCUCUCGCAUCGAUGAAGAACGCAGCGAAAUGCGAUAAGUAAUGUGAAUUGCAGAAUUCAGUGAAUCAUCGAAUCUUUGAACGCACCUUGCGCCCUUUGGCCAUUCCGAAGGGCAUGCCUGUUUGAGUAUCAUGAACACCUCAACUCCUCAUGGUCUUCUAUGAUGAGCUUGGACUUUGGGGGUUUGCUGGCCCAUUCGGUCAGCUCCUCUCAAAUGAAUCAGCUUACCAGUGUUUGGUGGCACCACAGGUGUGAUAACGAUCUACGCUUGAGGUUUUCCACCAGGCAACCUUUCAGUAAUGGGGGUUCACUGGGGGCUCACAAAUGUCUUUCUUUCAGUGAGGACAGCUCUUUGAAUGUUUUGAUCUCAAAUCAGGUAGGACUACCCCGCUGAAACUUAAGCAUAUCAAUAAAGCGGAGGA